CUCUUCCCCACUCUGCUGAGGUGCCUUCCCAGUCCACACAACUGGCUCCUUGAGGCCUUUGAGGAGCAGAAGGAGUUCGUGGCUGAAGUGGGAAGACAACAUGAGUUCUCUCUGGAUGCAGCUCAGCCCCAGGAUUUCAUUGAUGCCGUCCUCAUGCUCAUGUAGCAAGUGAGACUGGGAGCAAGAUUCAUUCCAUUCUGGGAUCUGUGGGGGCUGAGGGUCUUGGAGCAUCCUUGGAUGGGACUCAAGAGGCUCGGGUCCUAAAUCCCCUACUCUGCCUUUCAGCCUACUGUGCGACCAGGAGGAAGGGGACCCCCACACAGAAUUCAACCAAGAGAAUUUGCUCAUUUCCACUCUCAACAUCUUUUUUGCCAAGAUCGAGACAACCAGCACCACCCUCAGAUAUGGUCUCCUGAUCCUCCUAAAGCGCCCACCGGUUACAGAACUCAAACAGCAAGGGAUUGACCAAGCAGAGCAGUGGGGCCAGAGCCUGGAGGCUAUACACAGAUACUGUUCUCCAGGAGAUCCUGAGGUUCACAGACAUCAUGCCCCUGGUGUGCCCCAUGCUGUCACCCAGGACACCCCGUUCCGAGGACAUCUCCGAGAUACAGGGCUCCAUGAUGUUUGCGCUGCUUCACUCUAUCCUCCACAACCCUGACCAGUUCCAAGACCCUGCCUCCUUCCAGCUCAAGAGGUUCUUAGAUGCAAAAGGGGCCUUUUGGAACAGCCCUGCCUUUCUGCCCUUCUCUGCAAGGUCAGCAUCCAUGCUUUUGCCCAGGCCAGGGCUGCUCUGGGGGCUCCAGGGAGGAUGCCUUUCCCCUUUGCACCUCCUUCUUUAACAUAAGCAAGUGGUUUUCUAAUUGCUGGUUGGAAGACAGAUGCUACAGGCCAGGCUUGGGUGAGGAGGGAGAAUGGGGAAGGCAGAUACAACCCCCCAACACCACAGUUAAUCCUGAGAUUAAUCCUCACUCAGGAACUGUAGGUUGGGCCAGACCUGUGGAAAACACCCCCAAAUUUUUGUUUUUUAAUUUUCCAUUUGCUAAAAAAAUUAAUUGCAUAAUUCCCCAACUUCCAGAUAAAAUAAACAGCACAUUUAAUACUAAAUAUUUUGACAUGAUCAUUUUUGUUAUAAUUAUCUAAAAAUUAGACAGCUAUACAAACACUAGCUAACAUUUUUAUUUAAACCAGUCUAUGCACAAUGCAAACAUUUGGUUAAAAAAAGAGAAAUCAAGGAGAACAACAGAAUAAAAUGAAAGUAAAACUUUCCUCCUUGUAGGGAAGGCGGGGUUCCCAUGGCCAGGAUCCUCACUGAACUUAAACCACCUGAUGAUGUAACUGGCCUGUUGCUGGGCUGCGGCUUCCACACCUGUAGGCAAUAAGCUAUUAUUGCUCUAUAUAGAGAGCUAGCUAGGCCCAGUGCUCUGGGUCAAGGCAGAGAUACUAGUGCUCGACUUACCGCCAGAGAACAAGCCGGGUAAUAAACCCUUU